rnacentral:rRNA from 1 species
CAAUAGCGUAUAUUAAAGCUGUUGCGGUUAAAAAGCUCGUAGUUGGAUUUCUGUCAAGGACAACUGGUCCGCCCUCCGGGUGAGCACAUAGUUUGGUCUUGGCAUCUUGUUCAAAACUGUUACUGCGCUUGGUUGUGUGGUGCAGUUUUGGGCACUUUCACUUUGAGGAAAUUGGAGUGUUUCAAGCAGGCACAUGCCUUUGGACACAGUAGCAUGGAAUAAUUAGAUUGGGCUUUUGCUCCAACUUGUCGGUUCCUGGAGCUGAGGUGAGAAUCAAUGGGGAUUGUUGGGGGCAUCUGAAUUUAGCCGUCAGAGGUGAAAUUCUUGGAUCUGCUAAAGACGGACAACUGCGAAAGCGUUUGCCAAGGAUGUUUUCAUUGA